rnacentral:ncRNA from 1 species
AACAUAGCAUUGAGAAGGAGAGUACCUACUAGAUACUUUUUAAAGAGACCUCGGUUGGUGAAAAAGAGGAUGAGUGUGAGUAGCGAAAAUGGCCUUUGAGCAUAAACAAAUGAGCAGUUGGUUAAUUUGUUUCGGGAGUUCCCGUUAUCGGACAGCAGUAUUGAAAGACUCGAUUCUUGCGUACUGAGUAAGGUUACUAUUGUGAAAUAGUAACGAAUUAAGGUGGUAACACGAAACAACGCUUUCGUCCUUUGU